rnacentral:rRNA from 1 species
CCUACGGGGGGCUGCAGUGGGGAAUAUUGCACAAUGGGGGAAACCCUGAUGCAGCGACGCCGCGUGAGUGAAGAAGUCUUUCGGUAUGUAAAGCUCUAUCAGCAGGGAAGAAAAUGACGGUACCUGAUUAAGAAGCCCCGGCUAACUGCGUGCCAGCAGCCGCGGUACUACGUAGGGGGCAAGCGUUAUCCGGAUUUACUGGGUGUAAAGGGAGCGUAGACGGCAGAACAAGUCUGGAGUGAAAUGCCGGGGCUUAACCCUGGAACUGCUUUGGAAACUGUGCAGCUAGAGUGCAGGAGAGGUAAGUGGAAUUCCUAGUGUAGCGGUGAAAUGCGUAGAUAUUAGGAAGAACACCAGUGGCGAAGGCAGCUUACUGGACUGUAACUGACGUUGAGGCUCGAAAGCGUGGGUAGCAAACAGGAUUAGAUACCCGUGUAGUC